rnacentral:siRNA from 1 species
UGGAAUUGCGUGAAGUCGAUGCUA